rnacentral:rRNA from 1 species
AUUGAACGCUGGCGGCAUGCCUAACACAUGCAAGUCGAACGGUAACGACGGAAGCUUGCUUCCGGGCGACGAGUGGCGGACGGGUGAGUAACACUUAGGAAUCUGCCCAGUAGUGGGGGACAACCAGGAGAAAUCCUGGCUAAUACCGCAUACGCACUACGGUGGAAAGUGGGGGAUCUUCGGACCUCACGCUAUUGGAUGAGCCUAAGUCGGAUUAGCUUGUUGGUGAGGUAAAGGCUCACCAAGGCGACGAUCCGUAGCUGGUCUGAGAGGACGAUCAGCCACACUGGGACUGAGACACGGCCCAGACUCCUACGGGAGGCAGCAGUGGGGAAUAUUGGACAAUGGGCGCAAGCCCGAUCCAGCAAUGCCGCGUGUGUGAAGAAGGCCUGCGGGUUGUAAAGCACUUUCAGUAGAGAAGAAAAGCCUAGGGUUAAUACCCCUGAGUCUUGACGUAACCUACAGAAGAAGCACCGGCUAACUCCGUG